ensembl:lncRNA
CCUGCCCGGGGCUCUGUCCUGCUCAUCCCGUUAAUAAACAUUCAGAUCAGGCAGUUCCCGGUUCCUUCUCACAGCCGGGAGAGGCAGCGCGUCCCAGUGCAGCUGCUUGGAGGAAUUUUAAAUACGGCUUCAGCGGCUCCGUAGCCGGAGCCCUCGAGGGAAGGGGUGGCCCACGCCCUGGAGCUGGGAUUGCUGAGCAAGGCUGAGCCCUUGGAGGCUGGCGCUUAGGAAGGCUGAGCCUAAACGGGCCAGGAGCCGGGAGCGCCGCCUCCCAGCCACGGCCACGGGGGGCAACAACCAUCCGUGAAUCCCAGGAACGAAGAAGGAGCUAUUUCUGGUGCAGGAUGUUGGGAUGAGAGGCUAAAACCUACGGGGGAAUCAACGUUUCCUUAUCCACAGGGGCCGCAAUGCUGCCGAGCACCCGACGCUGCCUUGCCGGCGUGGCGAGCGAGCGGCGUUUCCCGCGGGGCUGACGUCCCGGAGAGAGCCUGGGAAAGCGGUGACGGCCCGGCCCGCCACGAUUAGGUUAUUCCGGCAAGAUCCUGGAACUCGCCAUCUUUGCAGCUUUUCCCUCAAACAAACGCGCCCCAAGCUGCGCGGCAAGGCUCCCGCGGGGCGAAGCGGCAGCCGGACGGGACCGCGGCACCCAGUCGCCUCUGCUGCCGUAAGGAGCUGCUGUAAUUUUUUCCUUCUGCCCGGACGAGACGGCGCACGCGCGCAGCGACUUGGCCUGCGAAAGGGCCGCGGCUGCCGGGGGCUCGAGGAGCGGCUUUCCUGCCGGAAGCGGGAGGACCAAGAUGCGCUAAACCUAGCGGAGGAGGCCAAGAGACCGAAGGAUCCGACUACUCGGCAAGCAAGUCCCGGCUCCCCCGCCGAGCUGCGGACCCAGGAAUCGCCCCCGGAUCUCUCGCGAGCCGGUGGCGGUUAAGGCACGAUUACGGGCUUGGUGGGACGCGGGAAACUCUUCCCCGCGUGCAUCUGUCCCCUUCUCGCCGCGUGUGCUGAAACGCGGGGAGCGAGCGGCUCGCGGGACGGAGCCGUGGCUUCCGUGGAAGUCGCCUAGGCGUCGCCGGGCUUGGCGGAAGCGGCUGCGGCUGGCGCUGGCAAGUGCCGAUGAAGGGGACGGGCGGCUAAGCUGAGCUGCCGGAGGAGCGCGAAGGCCGGCGCCGCGCUGGCCGGAUUCGAGCGGGUGGCUCGCGGCACUGCCCGCUAGCCGGGUCGCCCGCGACUUAGCCUGCACCCUAAUGCGGUGGCACCCAAGGAGCGGCACAAAUUCCCCCUUCCCUUGCUCUCCGUUGGCUGCGGAGCGGCGCUAGGUGACUCGUCCGGCUCUUGCUCCGCGGAGCUGGGGAAGAGCUGCCGGCUGAGCUGGGGGACAAGGAGCUGCGCGAUGGGCAGGCGAGGGGCAGCCGGGCUCGGCUGCAUCCGUGUCCGUCGCCACAUUGUUGCCUUCGUGCCCGAGCGGGCUGCCGUUGUUCCCGUAUCCUUAAAACGGGCUCUGAGAGCUCCAGCUUUGUUGGUGAAUCGGAAGUUUUCCCGCAUCCGUCGUCCCCGAGACGCUUAGCGGCGGAGCGCAAGGUAGGGGCAGCUCUUGAAAUACCGAUACGGUCGCUCGAUCAGCCCCGUUUGCACCGGGCGAUCUGAGCAAUCGGCUCCGCAGCCGACGGAUAUUUUAUCGGUCGAUACGGCUGCCGCUGCCUGGUCCCUCUUUCCGUCCCUGGGGGUGGGGAAGAGGAGCAAAACGUGCUGCCUUCCUCCCUGCCUGCCUCCUGCAGAGCUGCCUGCCGGCAGGCUU